GAUCCGAUUUUCCGGGUUGAUCCUGCCCGGAGGCCACUGCUAUCGGGGUCCGACUAAGCCAUGCGAGUCGAGAGGGGAAAGCCCUCGGCGGACUGCUCAGUAACACGUGGAUAACCUACCCUUGAGACGGGGAUAACCCCGGGAAACUGGGGAUAAUACCCGAUAGGCUAUGGAACCUGGAAUGGUCCAUAGUUGAAAGCGUUAGCGCUCAAGGAUGGGUCUGCGGCUGAUUAGGUUGUUGCUGGUGUAACGAACCAGCAAGCCGAUAAUCAGUACGGGCUGUGAGAGCAGGAGCCCGGAGAUGGAUUCUGAGACAUGAAUCCAGGCCCUACGGGGCGCAGCAGGCGCGAAACCUUCACAAUGCGCGAAAGCGCGAUGAGGGGACCCCGAGUGUCGGUGCUUAGCAUCGACUGUCCCGCUGUGUAAAAAGCAGCGGAUAGCAAGGGCCGGGCAAGACCGGUGCCAGCCGCCGCGGUAACACCGGCGGCUCGAGUGGUGGCCGCUAUUAUUGAGCUUAAAGGGCCCGUAGCCGGUCUAGCAACUCUCUUGGGAAAUCCGGCGGCUUAACCGUCGGGCGUCCAGGAGAAACUGCUAGACUUGAGAGCGGGGGAGGUUGGAGGUACUCCAGGGGUAGGGGUGAAAUCCUAUAAUCCUUGGGGGACCACCAGUGGCGAAGGCGUCCAACCAAAACGCGUCUGACGGUGAGGGACGAAAGCCAGGGGCACAAACCGGAUUAGAUACCCGGGUAGUCCUGGCUGUAAACGAUGCGGGCUAGGUGUCACGAUGGCUACGAGCCAUCGUGGUGCCGUAGAGAAAUCGUGAAGCCUGCCGCUUGGGAAGUACGGUCGCAAGGCUGAAACUUGAAGGAAUUGGCGGGGGAGCACUACAAUGGGUGGAGCCUGCGGUUUAAUUGGAUUCAACGCCGGGA
rnacentral:rRNA from 1 species